ACCAUUGGAACGAUGGCUAAUACCGCAUGAUGCCUACGGGCCAAAGAGGGGGACCUUCGGGCCUCUCGCGUCAGGAUAUGCCUAGGUGGGAUUAGCUAGUUGGUGAGGUAAGGGCUCACCAAGGCGACGAUCCCUAGCUGGUCUGAGAGGAUGAUCAGCCACACUGGAACUGAGACACGGUCCAGACUCCUACGGGAGGCAGCAGUGGGGAAUAUUGCACAAUGGGCGCAAGCCUGAUGCAGCCAUGCCGCGUGUGUGAAGAAGGCCUUCGGGUUGUAAAGCACUUUCAGUCGUGAGGAAGGUGGUGUAGUUAAUAGCUGCAUUAUUUGACGUUAGCGACAGAAGAAGCACCGGCUAACUCCGUGCCAGCAGCCGCGGUAAUACGGAGGGUGCGAGCGUUAAUCGGAAUUACUGGGCGUAAAGCGCAUGCAGGUGGUUUGUUAAGUCAGAUGUGAAAGCCCGGGGCUCAACCUCGGAAUAGCAUUUGAAACUGGCAGACUAGAGUACUGUAGAGGGGGGUAGAAUUUCAGGUGUAGCGGUGAAAUGCGUAGAGAUCUGAAGGAAUACCGGUGGCGAAGGCGGCCCCCUGGACAGAUACUGACACUCAGAUGCGAAAGCGUGGGGAGCAAACAGGAUUAGAUACCCUGGUAGUCCACGCCGUAAACGAUGUCUACUUGGAGGUUGUGGCCUUGAGCCGUGGCUUUCGGAGCUAACGCGUUAAGUAGACCGCCUGGGGAGUACGGUCGCAAGAUUAAAACUCAAAUGAAUUGACGGGGGCCCGCACAAGCGGUGGAGCAUGUGGUUUAAUUCGAUGCAACGCGAAGAACCUUACCUACUCUUGACAUCCAGAGAACUUUCCAGAGAUGGAUUGGUGCCUUCGGGAACUCUGAGACAGGUGCUGCAUGGCUGUCGUCAGCUCGUGUUGUGAAAUGUUGGGUUAAGUCCCGCAACGAGCGCAACCCUUAUCCUUGUUUGCCAGCGAGUAAUGUCGGGAACUCCAGGGAGACUGCCGGUGAUAAACCGGAGGAAGGUGGGGACGACGUCAAGUCAUCAUGGCCCUUACGAGUAGGGCUACACACGUGCUACAAUGGCGCAUACAGAGGGCGGCCAACUUGCGAAAGUGAGCGAAUCCCAAAAAGUGCGUCGUAGUCCGGAUUGGAGUCUGCAACUCGACUCCAUGAAGUCGGAAUCGCUAGUAAUCGUGGAUCAGAAUGCCACG
rnacentral:rRNA from 1 species